GUUAAAAUUAGCCUAACUUGCAAUUUAGAGAUCUAGAUUCAUUUAGCUGCUCUGCUCCAAGCUUCUCCUGCCCAAUUAAAUAGCUCACUCAAACUCUUGAGACCUUGGCUUGCACUUCCAAAGGUGUUGCAGGGGAGUUGUGUAAAGGGAAAAUGGGAGAAAACUGGUAGUUGCUCCCAGCUUCUGAUCAGGGGGAGUAGUCAAUUACUUAAUGGUAGCACAGGGGAAAUAAACACAUGAAGAAGGAAUUGCUGAUGGCUUCUUUGGGAUCAGUGGGAGGAGGGAAAACUGCACUGCAUCUCCAGGCAGCCCUUCUGUAGGAUGCCAUCAUAAAUUAACUACCAAAUUUUGUCUCCAAAGCAAAGCAAGAGGUGAUUAAAGGGACUGAGGAGAGAGCAACCAAUGGCCUUGAGCUCUUACAACACACUGGGAUGGUGAAAACCCAAUGAGUAACUUGCUAGUUUCUCUUUUCAUCCAAGUGUCCUGUCUUCGAGCAGGGUGAUGUUGAGUUACGGGUCCAGGUUGUCUCAGACAGCACCAUAAUCUGGUCUGCAUGGUGGCAGAAAUGUGGGUGGGAGUCAAGGCUGUCUCUGUCAAAAAAGGCUUUCUCAGUGUGUGUUCAGCAGAAACCCCAGCUGCUUGUAGCUGUUGUUCUUGGGGGACAACUUAAACGUCAGUGAAGACGUGUGUCCAGCUGGUCUGGGUACAACAGGAACCUUGCUGGUUGCACCCCCAUGGUUUAGCAAUGGUGUGGAGCAGCUGUACAGCUCGUCCUGUGCCUGGUGCAGACCCCAUGCUCCCUGCUUGUGCCAGCCAAGAGUUCACAGCUGGACCAUGGCCAAAGCUGGAAUCUGGCUGGUCUGGAGUCCUGUCCUUACCUGAACAUCUCAUCAAGGAGCUGCGGCAAGUUUCUAGCUCUGAAGAGCUGAAAACUGGGAAGCACAUGGGCUCUAAUAAGGGAGAACCUUAAUUCCACCCUGACAUAAAAAUGCUUUCAUCUGUGGGAGUUUUUUCCAUGUUGGAGGAAGCACGUUCCAUGUUCUCAGUGACUUGUGGAGCAGAUACCGGUAACACGUAAAUCCUUCAGGAUCACCCUGGUUGCUUGGACAGUGCUAGCACAGGAAAUCAGGAAAUUGUUCCUGCUCAGUGUUUGACAGCAAAUAUUCCGUAACCUUUUGAUACCACGUAGUGGAGGAAGUGGUUUUCUGUGUUGAUUUAUUGCUCAGCCUAGGUGUUGGGUUUGUGUUAUUUUGGUCUUGGACAUUUUAAUUUUGCAAUCUCCGGUUUUCAUUCUUUGC
rnacentral:lncRNA from 14 species